AGAGUUUGAUCCUGGCUCAGGAUGAACGCUAGCGGCAGGCUUAACACAUGCAAGUCGAGGGGCAGCACGGGUAGCAAUACUUGGUGGCGACCGGCGCAAGGGCAAGGGUGCGUAACGCGUGAGCAACAUGCCCGUAUCAGGGGGAUAAUCCAGGGAAACUUGGUCUAAUACCCCAUAGUAAUCUUUGAAGGCAUCUAUAGAAAUUUAAAGCUUUGGUACUUACAGAUGAAUCCGCGUGACAUUAGCUGGAUGGUAGGGUAACGGCCUACCAUGGCUACGAUGUCUAGGGGUUCUGAGAGGAAGAUCCCCCACACUGGAACUGAGACACGGUCCAGACUCCUACGGGAGGCAGCAGUGAGGAAUAUUGGACAAUGGAUGGAAAUCUGAUCCAGCCAUGCCGCGUGCAGGAAGACGGCCCUAUGGGUUGUAAACUGCUUUUAUACACCAAGAAAAACUCCCACGUGUGGGGACCCGACGGUAGUGUAUGAAUAAGCACCGGCUAACUCCGUGCCAGCAGCCGCGGUAAUACGGAGGAUGCGAGCGUUAUCCGGAUUUAUUGGGUUUAAAGGGUGCGUAGGCGGUCUAUUAAGUCAGCGGUGAAAGUUUUCAGCUUAACUGGAAAAAUGCCGUUGAUACUGAUAGGCUAGAAUAUGGUUGCUGUGGGUGGAAUGUGUGGUGUAGCGGUGAAAUGCGUAGAUAUGUGGAGGAACACCAGUGGCGAAGGCAGCUCACAAAGCCAUUAUUGACGCUGAGGCACGAAAGUGUGGGGAUCAAACAGGAUUAGAUACCCUGGUAGUCCACACCGUAAACGAUGAUAACUCGCUGUCGGCGAUAAACAGUCGGUAGCCAAGCGAAAGCGAUAAGUUAUCCACCUGGGGAGUACGACCGCAAGGUUGAAACUCAAAGGAAUUGACGGGGGCCCGCACAAGCGGAGGAACAUGUGGUUUAAUUCGAUGAUACGCGAGGAACCUUACCCGGGCUCGAACGGUGCAGGAAUAUGUCAGAGAUGUCAUAGCUAGCAAUAGUCUGUAUCGAGGUGCUGCAUGGUUGUCGUCAGCUCGUGCCGUGAGGUGUCGGCUUAAGUGCCAUAACGAGCGCAACCCUUGUCGUUAGUUGCCAUCAAGUAAUGUUGGGGACUCUAGCGAGACUGCCACCGUAAGGUGUGAGGAAGGGGGGGAUGACGUCAAAUCAGCACGGCCCUUACGUCCGGGGCGACACACGUGUUACAAUGGCCGAUACAAAGGGCAGCUACCAGGUGACUGGAUGCGAAUCUUUAAAAUCGGUCCCAGUUCGGAUCGGAGUCUGCAACUCGACUCCGUGAAGUUGGAUUCGCUAGUAAUCGCGCAUCAGCCAUGGCGCGGUGAAUACGUUCCCGGGCCUUGUACACACCGCCCGUCAAGCCAUGGAAGCUGGGGGUGCCUGAAGUUCGUGACCGCAAGGAGCGACCUAGGGCAAAACUAGUAACUGGGGCUAAGUCGUAACAAGGUAACC
rnacentral:rRNA from 1 species